GUAGCUCAGUGGUAGAGCACUUACCUAGCAUGUGUGAGGCCCUAGGUUUGAUUCCCAGC
rnacentral:tRNA from 1 species